rnacentral:rRNA from 1 species
AUUGAACGCUGGCGGAAUGCUUUACACAUGCAAGUCGAACGGCAGCACGGACUUCGGUCUGGUGGCGAGUGGCGAACGGGUGAGUAAUGUAUCGGAACGUGCCCAGUCGUGGGGGAUAACGUAGUGAAAAUUACGCUAAUACCGCAUACGAUCUAUGGAUGAAAGCGGGGGAUCGCAAGACCUCGCGCGAUUGGAGCGGCCGAUAUCAGAUUAGGUAGUUGGUGGGGUAAAGGCCCACCAAGCCAACGAUCUGUAGCUGGUCUGAGAGGACGACCAGCCACACUGGAACUGGGACACGGUCCAGAAUCCGACGGGAGGCAGCAGUGGGGAAUUUUGGACUAUGGGCGAAAGGCUGAUCCAGCCAUUCCGCGUGCAGGAUGAAGGCCCUCGGGUUGUAAACUGCUUUUGUACAGAACGAAAAGGUUUCUACUAAUACUAGGAGCUCAUGACGGUACUGUAAGAAUAAGCACCGGCUAACUACGUGCCAGCAGCCGCCUAA